rnacentral:rRNA from 1 species
UACGAAGGGGGCUAGCGUUGCUCGGAUUGACUGGGCGUAAAGGGCGCGUAGGCGGUUUGCAUAGUCAGACGUGAAAUUCCUGGGCUUAACCCGGGGGCUGCGUUUGAUACAUGCAGGCUUGAGUUCGGAAGAGGGUCGUGGAAUUCCCAGUGUAGAGGUGAAAUUCGUAGAUAUUCGGAAGAACACCAGUGGCGAAGGCGACUUACUGGACACAUAUUGACGCUGAGGUGCGAAAGCGUGGGGAGCAAACAGG